GCUGGCAUGGCUCAAUGGCAGAGCAGCGGUCCUGUAAACCGCAGGUUGUGUGUUCGACCCACACUGUCAGCUCCA
rnacentral:tRNA from 1 species